GUGUGUUCCAGGUAAAUCCGGUUCACUUUAACACUGAGGCGUGACGACGAGGCACUACGGUGCUGAAGCAACAAAUGCCCUGCUUCCAGGAAAAGCCUCUAAGCAUCAGGUAACAUCAAAUCGUACCCCAAACCGACACAGGUGGUCAGGUAGAGAAUACCAAGGCGCUUGAGAGAACUCGGGUGAAGGAACUAGGCAAAAUGGUGCCGUAACUUCGGGAGAAGGCACGCUGACACGUAGGUGAAGUGAUUUACUCAUGGAGCUGAAGUCAGUCGAAGAUACCAGCUGGCUGCAACUGUUUAUUAAAAACACAGCACUGUGCAAACACGAAAGUGGACGUAUACGGUGUGACGCCUGCCCGGUGCCGGAAGGUUAAUUGAUGGGGUCAGCGCAAGCGAAGCUCCUGAUCGAAGCCCCGGUAAACGGCGGCCGUAACUAUAACGGUCCUAAGGUAGCGAAAUUCCUUGUCGGGUAAGUUCCGACCUGCACGAAUGGCGUAAUGAUGGCCAGGCUGUCUCCACCCGAGACUCAGUGAAAUUGAACUCGCUGUGAAGAUGCAGUGUACCCGCGGCAAGACGGAAAGACCCCGUGAACCUUUACUAUAGCUUGACACUGAACAUUGAGCCUUGAUGUGUAGGAUAGGUGGGAGGCUUUGAAGUGUGGACGCCAGUCUGCAUGGAGCCGACCUUGAAAUACCACCCUUUAAUGUUUGAUGUUCUAACGUGGACCCGUUACCCGGGUUGCGGACAGUGUCUGGUGGGUAGUUUGACUGGGGCGGUCUCCUCCUAAAGAGUAACGGAGGAGCACGAAGGUUGGCUAAUCCUGGUCGGACAUCAGGAGGUUAGUGCAAUGGCAUAAGCCAGCUUGACUGCGAGCGUGACGGCGCGAGCAGGUGCGAAAGCAGGUCAUAGUGAUCCGGUGGUUCUGAAUGGAAGGGCCAUCGCUCAACGGAUAAAAGGUACUCCGGGGAUAACAGGCUGAUACCGCCCAAGAGUUCAUAUCGACGGCGGUGUUUGGCACCUCGAUGUCGGCUCAUCACAUCCUGGGGCUGAAGUAGGUCCCAAGGGUAUGGCUGUUCGCCAUUUAAAGUGGUACGCGAGCUGGGUUUAGAACGUCGUGAGACAGUUCGGUCCCUAUCUGCCGUGGGCGCUGGAGAACUGAGGGGGGCUGCUCCUAGUACGAGAGGACCGGAGUGGACGCAUCACUGGUGUUCGGGUUGUCAUGCCAAUGGCACUGCCCGGUAGCUAAAUGCGGAAGAGAUAAGUGCUGAAAGCAUCUAAGCACGAAACUUGCCCCGAGAUGAGUUCUCCCUGAGACUUAGAGUCU
rnacentral:rRNA from 1 species